rnacentral:rRNA from 1 species
UGGUGGAGUGAUUUGUCUGGUUAAUUCCGUUAACGAACGAGACCUCGACCUGCUAAAUAGUUCGUCGAAUCCUUCGGGAUUCGGUUGUAGCUUCUUAGAGGGACUAUCGGUGAUUUAGCCGAUGGAAGUUCGAGGCAAUAACA